UUCCUCGGCCAAUAGAUGUUCGUCGAUCUCUUUGGAGACCUCGACACAGAAUUGGAGGAGAGUUUCGGGAUGAGCCACCUCCUCGCUAAUUUUCUCAUACUCAAGGUGCCAAUGCACAAUACUUCCAAGUCCUCCAUGUUUAGGGGUCACCUGGAUCGUGAUCACAAAGCUCUUGUACUCUUUCAUCAGAUCACCGUCGAUAACUCUAAACGUGAUCAAGUUCUUAUCCGGCUCAACCGCCUCGAUCCUCUCCUUAGCCACCUUUGCCUCCCCAUCUGCACCAAUUAUUUAACAUUUGAUAUUAUAUGUUUAAUUUUGAGACAUAUUAUUUAUGAACAAGAAAUUUAUAUAACAUUGACUUGCCAUGAACAUAGUUCCAAAAGACGAUAGAGCCGACUUUGCCCCAGUCGCCUUCGUGCAGAUCACAGCCUUGAAUGUUUCCUGGAGAUGCUUUAGAGACAUGAUGUGGUUUUCCCGCGAACAUGUGAUGGAACUUCUCAGCUGAAGAUUUGAUCUCCACGUCUGUCUCUAGCUUCCCCACCAAACUAGGCGUCUCUGUUGUCUUCACCUCUUCUUCCUCAGCCAAGAGAUGUUCGUCGAUCUCUUUGGACACUUCGACACAGAAUUGAAGAAGAGUCUCGGGAUGAGCUACCUCGUCGCUAAUCUUCUCAUACUCAAGGUGCCAAUGCACAAUACUUCCAGGCCCGCCAGGCUUGGGGGUCACCUGGAUCGUGAGCAAGAAGCUCUUGUACUCUUUCAUCAGAUCACCGUCUAUAACCCUAAACGUGAUCAAGUUCUUCUCCGGCUCCACCGCCUCGAUUCUCUCCUUAGCCACCUUUGCCUCCCCAUCUAAACCAAUUAUUUACCAUAUCAUAUUUAUAGGCUUAAUUUAAAAUGAUCUCCUGGUUAGUUAUUUAUAUAUGAAAAAAGAUGAAUAUAACAUUGACUUGCCAUGAACGUAGUUCCAGAAGAUGAUAGAGCCAACUGUGCCCCAGUCGCCUUCGUGCAGAUCACAGCUUUGAAUGUUGCCUGGACUUGCUUUGGAGACAUGGUGUGGUUUCCCAGCGAACAUGUGAUGAAACUUAUCAGCCGAAGCCUUGAUCUCCACGUCUGUUUCUAGCUUCCCCAACAAACUAGACGGCUCUGUUUUCUUCACCUCAUCUUCCACGGAUGUCUUUGUAGCUACAUCCGCCAUUUUUCUAACGGCUGGUUUGAUUUUCUUGAGGAGGGUGAGAUUUUUGUUUUUGGUAGAGAGUGAAUUCCCUUAGGACUUGGAUAGCCCUAUAUAUAGAGGAAUGAGUGAGCAUCUCUAGAAGUAGAUGACACUGGUUUAAUUGUGAUUUCACAAUCCCAUUAUUGUGACCCAUAACGAUUCAGUAAGAUUUCCACCUAAAAAACUCUUCUUUUAAAUGUGUAUUUAAGAUUUUUUUGUAUGAAGUCCUUUCUGUUUUGUAAAGCUUCACAUAAUAUAGAAUUAAUUAAGUGAGUAACUAUUAACCAAGAAAAUAACACUGAAUUAUUUGCGUCCUUUCACGUCGCUCUUUUCUCUGUUAACGUUUAUAUAUAUAUGCUCAGAUACAUUUAUUGUAGCUAGUGGUGUUUUCGUUUUGUUUCAGUAUCCCAAUUUUUAUGCGGGUAUAAAUUCUUUCUCUAUUAUUUAUACUAGGUUAUGAACCCCCGCGAUGUCGCGGGGGAACUCAUUUUUAACAAAUAUAUUUGAUUGUGUUUAUGUAUUAAAUUAUUAUGAUAAUAUAUUCAAAAAGUUGAAUUAUUACAUAAAAUUAACUAUAUUUUUAAGCUAUGUCGUAAAUAUUUUCCAAAGAUGUUAAAAUAAUUUACGAAUAAAAAUGUAAAAAGAAGAAUUAUGAUUAAAAACACUUUUGAAACAACUUUUAUAAAUGUAAAAUUAUUUAUAAGUGACAAUAUACAUAAAAAAGAGUUAUAAUAUAGAGAUAAGAAAUUCUAGCGGGUCAAAACCAAAAAAUUCGGAUGGAAUCAGUACUUAGCACGACUUGUGGGUGACUAAGAACGCCUAAGAAUUGGUGUUAUUUGUUUGUCCACUGUUCUUUAAAUAUAAAAUUAAUAUUUAUUUUAUUAUAUAUAUUCGAGAAGAUAUAAAAUUUGAUGACGUAAAUUACAUCUAUAACAAACAAAUAAACAUUUACACAAUCUCAUAAAUUUAUAUUUGUAUUGAUUAGUUAACUGAGUAAAAAAACUUCUUCCUUGAACAUUCAUGUGACGAAUUGGAAUCAUUGCUUUAUUCCUAAUAAUGAAGAUGAUUUAUGAAUUACUAUACUAUUUGAAACUGUUUAUUUGACGCUUACCACAUUUAAAGCGCCUAAUCACAAGCUUCACAUGAGGAUGUCUUCUGAUAUUCGAACUUUGUAAUAGUGCUAAAUCAGAAUCAAUAUUUCGUUGUAUACAACCCAUAUAUAUUGCUUUAAGAUAAAAAAAAAAACAUUAUUGUUUUCAUAUAAAAUAGCUAAAUAAAAAAAGCUACUGUAUACUCAGUCCAAUUCUAAGAACAAAAUUGUCGGUAUCUUCAUUAGAAUUUUAUAUUUAAAGUUGAUUCAAACUUCUCUCUUUUUAUAAUCAUUCCAAAAAACUUUGGUUAAAUCUAAAAUCGGAAGAAUUUUUUUAAUAUUAAAAUGAUUUAUGUUUAGAAAUAGUUUAGAGAAUUAAGAAUUUAGAGCCAUUUUACAGAUUUGUAUUUUUUUAUUCAUCAUGAAACAAAUAAUCUAUGUUAAAGAACAAAAAUUUGGGAACUACUUAGAAAGAAAGACAAUUAUUUAGAGUUCAGAAGUCACGAACAUUUAAAUAGAUAAUUAUUCAUACAAAAAAUUGUGAUAAAAAAAUGCAAUGAAAUAUAGUGAAGAAACGUAUAUGCAACUAUAAAGAUACAACAGUAAACUGAAAAAAAAUAUGACUAUAAUUGAAAAAAUAGAACUGUCUCACAAAAAUAACCGUCAUUAUUUCAAUGAAAAGAUGCGAUUUUAAAAAAUACAACUUAGAAAAAAUAACCGUCAAUAUUUUAACGCAAAAUACCGAUAAAAAAAACACAAACGAAAAAAAGUUACAGUCAAUAUUUUAACGGAAAGUUGCGAUAAAAAGACACAACCGAAAAAAGAACCAUCACCGAAAAAAAAUGACGGUCAAUAUUUUAACGAAGAGUUGCGAUAAAAAGAUACAACCGAGAAAAUAACUGUCAAUAUUUUAACGGAAAGUUUCGAUAAAAAAAUACAACCGAGAAAAAUAACCGUCAAUAUUUUAACGGAAAGUUACGAUAGAAAGACAUAACCGAAAAAAGUAAUCGUCAAUAUUUUUAACGGAAAUUUACGAUAAAAAGACACAACCAAAAAAGAACUAUUGACGAAGAAAUUAUUUUAACGAAGAGUUCCGAUCAAAAAGACACAACCGAGAAAAAAUAACCGUCAAUAUUUUAACGGAAAGUUAUGAUAGAAAGACACAAACAAAAAAGUAACCGUCAAUAUUUUAGCGGAAAGUUACGAUAAAAAGACACAACAAAAAAAUAACCGUCAACGAAAAAAGUAACCGUAGUUAUUUUAACGACGAGUUGCGAUCAAAAAAACACAACCAAGAAAAAAUAACCGUCAAUAUUUUAACAGAAACUUAUGAUAAAAAGACACAAAUAUAUAAAGUAACCGUCAAUAUUUUAACGAAAAGUUGCGAUAAAAAAUAUACAACCGAAAAAUAACCGUCAACAAAAAAAGUAACCGUCAAUAUUUUAACGAAGAGUUGCGAUAAAAAGACUUAACCGUGAAAAAUAACCGUCACUAUUUUAACGGAAAGUUGAGAUAAAAAGACACAACCGAGAAAAAUAACUGUCAAUAUUUUAACGAAAAGUUGCGAUAAAAAGAUACAACCGAAAAAAAAAUAACCGUCAAUAUUUUAACAGAAUAUUUUGAUAAAAAGACACAAACGAAAAAACUAACCGCUAAUAUUUUAAAUAUUACAAUAACACAACCGAAAAAUAACCGUCAAUAAAAAAGUAACCGUCAAUAUUUUAACGAAGAGUUGUGAUAAAAACACAACCGAAAGUAACCAUAAAUAUUUAAACGAAAAGUUACAAUAAAAAGAUGCAACCGUUCAGAUGUGUAUAUGGUAUUUAUUGGAAACGACAUAAUCGUAAAAAAAUAACCGAUUAAAACGAAAAUUGCGAUAAAAAGACGCAACCAAAAUAACCGUAAAAAAAUAACCAAUUUAAACGAAAAAUUGCAAUAAAAAGACGCAACCAUUCAAAUGUGCAAAUGGUAUUUAUUAGAUUGCUAUUAUAUAUAGAUUUAUAUACACCAUAAAAUAAAGUAAUUAUUUAUAACAAUAACAACUUUUUGUCUAUUGGGAAAAUAAUAAAAGGAGGUAAAACAAAGUCAACAAUUUUUCAUGUUAAACAUUAUGGGUUAAAUUUUAUUUUGUGCGGAGUCUACUGUUAUUAUGCACUUAUAUUAAUUUACUUUUUAUGUCUAUAUAACAAUCAAAUUCGAUCGAUGUAAUCCAUAAUUCACAACUUCAUUUACGAAAUAAAUAAUAAUAAAAAAUCUUUUUCGUCUUUCUUUAUUUCGGUAGUCCGAUAUUUUUGUAUUUAUAUUUAUAUCUACCAUAAAAUAAAUACUUAUUUAUAACAAGAGUCUAAUAAUUGUGAAAGUAAUAGUGAUCGAAAUUAAGGUUACGUGAGUACCAAAAUGCCAUUUUAGAUCAUUUCCUUCAUGCUCACUUUUUUUUGGUAGACUAGUUAGGUGUUGAUAUGACGGUAGACAACACUUUUCCCGACACUCAUAUAACUUUUGAAAAUUGUAAAAGCUUUCUCUUAAAAAUCAAUGGAUGCUCUAUUGAGAAGUUGAAUAACACAUUAUCACACGUUUAUCUUCAGAGACAAUAGGUAGGGUUAAGAUCAUCUACAAUUAUUUAAGAUCUGCUUUUCCCGAGAAAGAAGAACUGCCAUCUUUCUAACUUUAGUCAAGUACGUAGUAUUCAUACUCAUAGCAUAAUGACUUUAUAAUCUUAUGAUUAUUCUGAUUUUUUUUCUUUUUAUUUUGUUUGAUUUUAGUUAUCUUUUCGCCUUCUUAUGUCUAAUUUGGCUGAUUAAAUAUUGAUUCUAACUCUGUUUUACAUAUUAAUAUGCUUUAUUAAUGAGAAUAACGCGUUUUUGUUACAUGAAGCUCACAGAACUCGCUAAUACAAGAGUCUCAAACAAGGUAGCAAAGAAUGCAUGAUUCUAACAUUCAUGAUAGGAGAGAGACCAGCCUUGGUAUAUCCACAAACACAUAAGCUUUUAUUAAAACCAAACAUGACAUACACACAUCUAGAGUACAACUCUUUUCUAUAUCACUCACAUAUAUUGGGCUACGCUCCUUGUUUAUUGUAUCAUACACAAGAACAUGCGUGCUUCAUAACUGACAUAUACACAUUAUUGGAUAGAUACUCAAUUAAAGAGUACUCUCUAUUCCUCGUUCAGGAGAUGUUCAUCGAUCUCUUUGGAGACUUGGACACAGAAAUCAAGGAAGGUCUCAGGGUGAGCCACUUUGUCGUCAAUUUUCUCAUACUCGACGUGCCAGUGCACCACACUCCCAGGUCCUCCUCUUUUAAGAGUCACUUGGAUUGUGAUCACAAAGCUCUUAUACUCUUUUAAUAAGUCUCCCUCUAUCACCCUAAAAGUGAUGAGGUUUUUCUCCGGCUCCAC
rnacentral:lncRNA from 1 species